CUAGUGCAGACAGGCAGUUCUGAUUAUGUAUGCAAAUACAGGUCUGGCCCUGAAGCUUAUUUGAGAGCCACACAGCUCAGCUAAGCCACCCUGGAGAAAGAAUCUUACAAAGAAUACUAAAGAGCAUCCAAGUGUGAAGAAUGAAACACACAGAUGAGCCCCAAGAGGAUGAGGAAGGGAGAGGCUGGUGGGGGUCUGAUUCUCAUCUCCACCUUAACAGAAUGCACAUGAAGUCCAGCCAUGGUGUAGCCAAGGAGACCCACUAAGACCACCAAAAGCUUGGAAAUGAGGAUGCAGGGGCAAAGGACGGCAUUAUAGGCGCUGCCAAAGACCUCCACUGAUAUCACUGCUUAUGGACCAGUUGUGUAGCAUCUGUAAUGGGGAUAAAAUAACCCUCAUUUCUGAGAUUCCUGACACCAUAGGAUGGCUCUGUUUUAUCUAGAGAUGCCAGCACAUCUUUGCUUUAGAAUGUUCUCCUACUUCAUUGUGUCACUCUCCAACCAAAAAGUUCUCGAAAUUUUAUUUCCAGUCACCCUCAAACUGCAUAUGCAUGGUUCUGAUCCUAAUUAGCAUACCAAAGACUUUGAGAACUGAACUAAGACAUAGAUCACUGCCCAGAUCCCAGACAGGCCACUGGAUGGUCCACACCCAAGACAAAUCUGAAGUGCACUACAGAGCCUUAGAAAACUGAACUGACAUAGGAACCAUAACCCAAAGAAGGGGGAUGGUAAUUUGCAGCCUUAUCCUAACUAGAUCAAGUGCCUGCUAAAACAAAAAUAUCAAUAUCCUCCAUAAAAUUUAAUCAAGACCCAGGGUCUUAUAGUAUAAUACUCAAAAUAUUCAGGAAACAACUUCAAAUUACUCAGCAUAAAAAGAACCACAAAAAUUUCAACUUACAUGUGAAAAGACAAUCAACGGAUGCCAAUGAUGAAUUGAAGCACUUGUUGGAAUUAUCAGAUAAAUAUUUCAAAGCAGAUACUUAAAAAUUGUUCGAGUAAGCAAUUGCAAACACUCUUGGAACAAAUCCUAAAACAGAAAGUCUCAGUAAAGAAAUAGAAGCUAUGAAGAAGAACCAAUGGAAGUUUCAAAACUGAAAAAUAAAAUAAUUGAAAUUUAAAAACUUACAGGAUGGACUCAAUAAGAGAGCAAAAAGUCUGUGAAUGUGGAGAUAGAUCAAUAGAAACUAUACAAUCUGAAUAAUAGAGAACAGGCUGAAAAAAAUGAAUAGGACAUCAGGGACCUGUGUGAUUUAACAUUAAUGUCAUCAGAGACCCAGAGAGGAGGGGGAAGAGUGAAAUGCUGACAAAUUAUUUGAAGAAAUAAUGGCUGAAAAUUUCUCAAGUUUAGCAAAAGACAUAAACCUACAUAUUCAAGAAACUGACUGAACCACAAGUAAGAUAAACCCAAAGUAAUCUAUACCUAGACACAUCAUAAACUGUUGAAAAGUAAAGAUGAAGAAAGACUCUUGAAAACUGCCCAAGAAAAACAACACAUUCCCUAUAGAGGGACAGCAAUUUGAAUGACCAUGGUUAGCGCAUUACAAAUGAUAGAGGCCAGAAGGAAGCAGCACAACAUUUUUAAAGUGCUGAAAGAAAAAAAAAAACUGUCAGCGCAAUUCCAAAUUGAGCAAAAAUAAGCUUUAGGAAUGAAUAAAGGUGAAAUAAAGAUAUCUGUAUAUGAUAGAAAACUAAGAGAAUUAUAACCAGUAGAUCUGCUCUAAAAGAACUGCUAAAAUAAGUUUUUCAAAAAAAAGAGAAAUAAAAGAAGGAAACUUGGAAUAUUAGAAAUAAAGUAAGAGCAACAAAAAUGGUCCCUUAUACUUUCACUUCAGAACCUCU
rnacentral:lncRNA from 10 species